GAUGUUCCUGGUAUAUCACGCCGUAUACGAUGAGUGCUCAGUGAAAGAGGGUUUCCGCCCUUUAGUGCAGAAGUUACCGCAUCAAGCACUCCGCCUGGGGAGUACGGCGGCAAGGCUGAUACUCAAUGGAAUUGACGCGGGCCCGCACAAGCGGUGGAGCAUGUGGUUUAAUUCGAAGCAACGCGAAGAACCUUACCAGGUCUUGACAUCCUCUGACAACCCUAGAGAUAGGGCUUCUCCUUCGGGAGCAGAGUGACAGAUGGUGCAUGGUUGUCGUCAGCUCGUGUCGUGAGAUGUUGGGUUAAGUCCCGCAACGAGCGCAACCCUUGAUCUUAGUUGCCAUCAUUUAGUGGGGCACUCUAAGGUGACUGCCGGUGACAAACCGGAGGAAGGUGGGGAUGACGUCAAAUCAUCAUGCCCCUUAUGACCUGGGCUACACACGUGCUCCAAUGGACGGUACAAAGAGCUGCAAGACCGCGAGGUGGAGCUAAUCUCAUAAAACCGUUCUCAGUUCGGAUUGUAGGCUGCAACUCGCCUACAUGAAGCUGGAAUCGCUAGUAAUCGCGGAUCAGCAU
rnacentral:rRNA from 1 species